rnacentral:rRNA from 1 species
UGAUGCAUAGCCGAGUUGAGAGACUGAUCGGCCACAUUGGGACUGAGACACGGCCCAAACUCCUACGGGAGGCAGCAGUAGGGAAUCUUCCACAAUGGACGCAAGUCUGAUGGAGCAACGCCGCGUGAGUGAAGAAGGGUUUCGGCUCGUAAAGCUCUGUUGUUGGUGAAGAAAGGACAGGGGGUAGGUAACUAGACCGUUUCGUUUUGUACGGUAAGUACUAAUUUAGAAAAGUCACGGGCUAACUACGUGCCAGCAGCCGCGGUAAAU